AACGAACGCUGGCGGCAGGCUUAACACAUGCAAGUCGAGCGCCCCGCAAGGGGAGCGGCAGACGGGUGUGUAACGCGUGGGAAUCUACCCAUCUCUACGGAAUAACGCAUGGAAACGUGUGCUAAUACCGUAUACGUCCUUCGGGAGAAAGAUUUAUCGGAGAUGGAUGAGCCCGCGUUGGAUUAGCUAGUUGGUGGGGUAAAGGCCUACCAAGGCGACGAUCCAUAGCUAGUCUGAGAGGAUGAUUAGCCACACUGGGACUGAGACACGGCCCAGCCUCCUACGGGAGGCAGCAGUGGGGAAUAUUGGACAAUGGGCGCAAUCCUGAUCCAGCCAUGCCGCGUGAGUGAUGAAGGCCCUAGGGUUGUAAAGCUCUUUCACAGGUGAAGAUAAUGACGGUAACCGGAGAAGAAGCCCCGGCUAACUUCGUGCCAGCAGCCGCGGUAACAC
rnacentral:rRNA from 1 species